GACGAACGCUGGCGGCGCGCCUAACACAUGCAAGUCGAACGGGAAAGUUAGCAAUAACUUUCUAGUGGCGAACGGGUGAGUAACGCGUAGACAACCAACCUUGUAAUGGGGGACGAACACUUCGAAAGGAGUGCUAAUACCGCAUAAGCUCUUCGGGUCACAUGGUCUGAAGAGGAAAGGAGCUGUAAGGCUCCGUUAUAAGACGGGUCUGCGUCUGAUUAGCUAGUUGGAGGGGUAACGGCCCACCAAGGCGACGAUCAGUAGCCGGUCUGAGAGGAUGAACGGCCACACUGGGACUGAGACACGGCCCAGACUCCUACGGGAGGCAGCAGUGGGGAAUCUUCCGCAAUGGACGAAAGUCUGACGGAGCGACGCCGCGUGAGUGAUGAAGGCCCUUGGGUCGUAAAGCUCUGUCAUUGGGGACGAACGAUCACAUCAGGAAAUGGGUGUGAAGUGACGGUACCCAAGAAGGAAGCCACGGCUAACUACGUGCCAGCAGCCGCGGU
rnacentral:rRNA from 1 species